GCCUCGGUAGCUCAGUUCGUAGAGCAAAGGACUGAAAAUCCUUGUGUCCACAGUUCGAUUCUGUGCUGAGGCACCA
rnacentral:tRNA from 1 species